AAAUUUAUCUCGGAGUACCAAUUGUGGUAUAGUUAUUUGACAUGCCAUAUGAAGUAUGAUAGAAUGACAUGAUCGUAGCAACAAGAGAGAUAAAGAACAGAUGAAGAAACUAGGAAUAUAUGCUUCAUAAAAUUACAUUUCAGAACGAUGCAUUAGCCUAAGUUGUUUUGCCACAUCUACCAUUGUAGGUCUAUCAUCUGCUGAUACAGAGAGACAAUUGAAGGCCAGCCUUGUGAAAGCUUUCAAUUUUUGCUCUUUUGCUGAGCAUAAUCUUUCUCCAACAAUUUCGGGAUCCACUAUCUCAGUGAACCUACUCUUCUUAAUAUAUUUUCUCACACGAUCAGACAAAAACCACCCAUCUUCAGUUUCUCGAUCAACCGCCCUCUGUCCAGUCAAGAGCUCAAGCAGCAACAUACCAAAACUAUAAACAUCACACUUCUCAUUGCAAUCACCUGUUGCAAUGUAUUCAGGAGGAAGAUAUCCAAAUGUUCCCAUCACCCUGCCUCUUAUGCGUGUUUCACCCUCUGGAAUAGAUUCAGAGCACGAAAAAUCAAACAGUUUGGCAACAGAUUGUUCUUGGAAUAAAAUAUUUGAUGGUUUUACGUUUCUGAAAACAAUUGGCCUGGAGAAACCAACAUGGAGAUAUGCAAUUCCGUAAGCUAUCUCCAUUGCAAUCUUUAACCUCAGUGAACAUGUGACAGGUUCAAAAUUGGGUUGACGAGGAUGAUAAAUACGAUCAGCAAGAGUUCCAUAUUCAACAUAUUCAAAUACCAAAACAGGAUUUUCAGUUUCUAGGCAGCAUCCGAUCAGCCUCAUCACAUUUUUGUGAUUCAUUUGUGAUGCAAAUACAAUGUCAUUAAAACAAUAUUCAGCUGCAUAGUCGGAGUUUACAAAUUUCAUGAUAGAAACAGGAUAGUCAUGCAGAAAACCCUUGAAUAAUUCAUAGCCCAAUCCAGUUGUUAUAACUUUCUGUCUGUCAUAAUUUUUUGUUGCUAUGUUGAGCUCGUUUUCAUGGAAACAACGAAUAGGGUUGCGUUUAUUAUCACAAGAUUUGAUCAAUUUUUCAAGAAAAACUUUGCCAUUCCUCAACAUGAAUGUCUCCUUAUCAGCCUUGCCCAGAUGCUUGAUCUUCCUAAAAAACGAACUCAUCUAAUACCUAUUCAGAAACCAAUGAAAUGCUUUCACUGAAUUGAAAUAAGAUAAAAACUAGUAUAGUAGUACAACUUUUAAAUGUUCUAGUAAGUUUUCAGGAAAAAGAAAUAUUUUCGUCAGUGACGUUUCAUAUUUAAUAUGAAGUAAAGAGAAAAUAUUGAUUGUAUAUUUCAUCUGAUUCCAGAAAUGUAACAUUAGAAGCAUAUAAAUGACAACAUAGCGCCGUACACACAGAUGUACUUGAAGAAAAUGAAGCAGAGCAUUGAAAGAUAUACCUUUGGGUGGCCAAUUCCAGUGUUCAGAUAAAGGAGAUAUGGCACUUACAAGUCUGGGAAAGAAGCUCCAAAUUUGGCAUGUGUGUAUAAAAUCUGAAGCAAGACUUCAAAUAACAAAGUGAAACUUGAUAUCUUUGCAAGUCUUCCCAGUCAACCAUAUGCAAAUUUCCAUAUCUAAUGUUGACAUGCAAUGUAAAGUAAGCCACAGACAUAACAUGUGCUAAAGGCUCAUUUAUUUGUUUCAGAUAAUUGACUGUGUGCAUGUAUAAAAUGUACUGUUUUAUACCUAAAUUUGACUUGAAAUUUAAACAUAUUCUAAAUCAUUCAUCUCAUUCAAUCAAAAAGUGCAGAGAGUUACUAAGUUCGUAGGUAACACUAAACUAAAGGAAUUUAGUCAAUCAUGUAUCAUUGUUAAUAAAAAUAUACAUAUGUACGACAUAAGUUUUUGGUGAACGAAAUCUUUAUUUUCAUUAGUUUGUUUUAUAUACAUAUGUACGACAUAAGUUUUUGGUGAACGAAAUCUUUAUUUUCAUUAGUUUGUUUUAUAUACAUAUGUACGACAUAAGUUUUUGGUGAACGAAAUCUUUAUUUUCAUUAGUUUGUUUUAUAUACAUAUGUACGACAUAAGUUUUUGGUGAACGAAAUCUUUAUUUUCAUCAGUUUGUUUUAUAUUUUAACUGACAAUGAAGUUAUUAAUUAGUACAGACUAGAGUGACAUUUUGAUUUGCAAAAAUAUUAGAUACAUUUUUAAAAAUUUUCCCUUUUUUUGUCGCACAUAUAUGGCGCAUUACUACCAUAUAUAAUAAGCUCAAUAAAUUUUUGUUGGCUGCCAUUUCCAAAAUGAAUGUGCUUGCCUAAUUUAUGUUUUAUGAGCAGUACAGUGGUUUUCAUGUGCUUUGAUGAUAUGGUAACUUUCUGGUGAAUUUAUACGAGGAAAGACACAAAGAAUUAGUUAGUAAGGUCAUGAAUUUAUCUAUUCCUAGUUGUUAAUUACCUCAUCCUAUUUUCUUUUUAUAAUUGUCAAUGAAUUAAAUUCUUUGGGGUUUAAGGUAUCUCAUUUAGUAACUUUACUCCUUGAAUUAGAUUUUGAAAAACAUGGUAAGAUAAUAAGGUAACAACUUAGUAAGAUAAAUUCUUGACCUUAUACUAAUUAAUUCUACGCGUCUUUCCUCUUAUAAAUUCAUCCCAAAAUGACCAUACCGGAGCACAGGAAAAUCAUUGUUCAUAAAAAAGAAACUAGCCAGAUAUCAUUGAUUUUGGAAAUGGCAGACAAGAAAACCAAAGGGAGACAAAAGAUUGAGAUGAAAAAGAUUGAGAGUGAGGAUGGUAGGCUGAUCACGUUCUCAAAACGUAGAUCUGGGAUCUACAAGAAGGCCAGUGAGCUUGUGACUCUCACGGGCUCUGAGAUUGCCAUUCUUGUGUUCUCACAGUCUGGAAAGCCUUUCUCAUUUGGCCACCCCUCCAUUGAAGCUGUUGCAAACCGCUUCGUGGGGUUGAACCAACCAGCAAAUGACAACACUCAUCCGCUGGUUGAGGCUCACCGCCUGGUGAGAAUUAAUGAACUCAAUCAGCAGCACAAUGAGCUGCUUCGCCAAUUGGAAGAGGAAAAGGAACGGGAGAAGGUAUUGAAGCAGAUGAGGAGGGGGAAAGAGACUCAGCCGCGUUGGUGGGAAACUACAGUUGAUGAGCUCAACCAUCAGGAGCUGCUUCAAAUGGAUGCAACAAUUGAUAAUCUGCAUAAAACUUUUCUUGCCAAACUCAAUGAAAAGACUGCUGCUGCCUCUUCCUCUAUGGCACCUCCUAUGUAUUUUCAUCAUAAAUGAUAUUUCAUAUUUUCCUUUUGAUUUGGUAUUUGUCUAUAAAAAUCUGAUGAAGCUGCAGGUCCAAAUGAUAAACUUGAAAAAUGAGAAGGCAACUUACUGUUGUGUCCAAAAUUGGAUAUAAAAUGCUAAACAAAACUAUCAACCGUGAGAAAUAGAAUUUUCACCAUGACGGCAAAUGCCUAUGACAUAAUUUGAGAAAAAAACUUAAUUGAUGUUCCCUGGAUAUAAUUAAUCUGGUCAGAAUCAUUAGCAAUCAUACUCUAAGUUAAUUUGUUGUUCAAAGUAAUUAUUAAAUGAAUAGUAGUUAUACUCAAAUUAAUCUGUAGUUAUACUCAAAUUAAUCUGUCAUUCAAGUAAUUAUUAAUUUAUUCGCUUUUUCCACGACAUCAUCGAGAUAUUUAUAAAUCAUGAGAGAAAGUAAAUAAAUAUAUUCCCGGAAAAAAAGUGGGCCGCAUAGGAAGUCUAUUUAAUUUUAAAUAUAUUUGAAAUUCCUCCACUUGAAGGAGAAAGGAUCAAUGGCACAUUCAAAUCACACGAGUUUAUGCUACAGAUAUAACAUAAGGAACAUAUUGAAGAAAUUUUUAUUCCAAAGUUAAAUAGGAUUUUCUUUUUUAAAAGAGAGAGAGAGAGAGAGAACAAGAACAAAUAAGAAAAUGGAGAGGUGAGAUGAAGGAAAAAGAACAGUUAAAAAAAAAGUUGAGAAGAGAGAAUAUGGAAAAAAAUCAUGGAAAUUAAUGCGCAAAACUUAAUGUUCCAUGUCAUUUAAUACUUAUAUAAUCUUCAAUCUUUGAUCUAAUGGUUUAAAAUUCGUGUAAAAACCUGUGCAAUUUAAGGGUUCAUUAAUCCAUCCUUUGUUUGAAAUUUGAUUAAAAACAAAGCCAAGGAAUUUAGUGGGUAAUCAAAAUAUACACAGGUAAACACCUAUCUACACACACAAGUUAGGGAUAGAAAUUAAUGAAAAAUACCUACUAAACAUUAAUCCUUGUCUCAGAAUUUUACUUGAACUCAGCUGAUUGGAUUGAAAGUGAAUUCACAUCCAAUCGAACUCGGCCUAUGGGAAUUUUUGUUACACAUAAUUGUUUGUGAAACAAAGGAAUAAUUCUUUUGAAAUUAAAAUCUUAACACAAAAUUCACAACCAUUCAAGUAAAGUAGAAUUAUGAAGAAAUUGAAAAAGUGAAGUUAAAUUAAAUUUAUCUCGGAGUACCAAUUGUGGUAUAGUUAUUUGACAUGCCAUAUGAAGUAUGAUAGAAUGACAUGAUCGUAGCAACAAGAGAGAUAAAGAACAGAUGAAGAAACUAGGAAUAUAUGCUUCAUAAAAUUACAUUUCAGAACGAUGCAUUAGCCUAAGUUGUUUUGCCACAUCUACCAUUGUAGGUCUAUCAUCUGCUGAUACAGAGAGACAAUUGAAGGCCAGCCUUGUGAAAGCUUUCAAUUUUUGCUCUUUUGCUGAGCAUAAUCUUUCUCCAACAAUUUCGGGAUCCACUAUCUCAGUGAACCUACUCUUCUUAAUAUAUUUUCUCAC
rnacentral:lncRNA from 1 species